UCUUGGUCAUUUAGAGGAAGUAAAAGUCGUAACAAGGUUUCCGUAGGUGAACCUGCGGAAGGAUCAUCAGAGAUUAUCAGCGGGGCGCGGCUGUGCGCGGGCGGCGGGCCACUUUUGGCCGCGCCGGCGCGCAGCGGGCGCCCCACCCUUGCCCGCGCAACGUUAUAACUGAACAGGGGACUGUGCGGAGCGGGGGCCUUGGGGGCGUGGGGUGGCGGGUAGCGGCGGCCCUCGGGCGGCGCGACCCACACCGGCACCCGGGCCCUUGUUUAGCCGGUUUCCCCCGAACCAAAAAACACACUGUAACCUCGAGUAGCAUGAUUGAAGAUGAAUCAAAUACAACUUUCAACAAUGGAUCUCUUGGCUCUUGCAUCGAUGAAGAACGCAGCGAAUUGCGAAAAUUAAUGUGAAUUGCAGAAUUCGUGAAUCAUCGAGUCUUUGAACGCACCUUGCGCUGUUCUCUCACGAGGCAGCAUGCUUGUUUGAGUAUCUGUUUUCCAUCCACGCCCUCUCCGGGGGGGCGCGGGACGUGGCUCGCGGCGGGCGGCGCCUUUUUGCAGGCGGCGGCGGCGCGGGCCGAAACGCAGGGAAUCGUGGCGGGCAGAUGCGGCAGCCUUCGCUUUCAGCGUGUGUGGCGCGCGGCGCGGACGGGCUUUUUCGGACGUGCAGCAGCUUCUUGGCGAGAUAGUUUAGCCUCGGCUCUACAGACACAUUUCACCUUGGGCGGCGGCAGGUCUCUUGUCCAGCGGCGGGGCGGCACGGAUAGCACGCGGGGAGCGGGCGGGCGCGCCGGCGGAUUCCUAGCCAGGGGAGAGCCGGCCAGCAGUGGCUGGCGACAAAAUUACGAUCUCAAAUCAAGUAGGACUACCCGCUGAAUUUAAGCAUAUCAAUAAGCGGAGGAAAAGAAACUAACAAGGAUUCCCCUAGUAACGGCGAGUGAAGCGGGACCAGCUCAAAUUUGAAAUCGCCGGCCAGCCCGGCGAGUUGUAGUUUACGGAGCUAGCUAUCGGCGGCCGGGGGGGGUACAAGUCUGGUUGAAUCCAGCAUCAGAGAGGGUGACAGUCCCGUCUUUGGCCCCGCCCGCGCGGCUCUGUGUUCUAGUCUCUUCGAGUCAGGUUGUUUGGGAAUGCAGCCUAAAAUGGGUGGUAAAUCUCAUCUAAAGCUAAAUAGCGGCAAGAGACCGAUAGCGAACAAGUACCGUGAGGGAAAGAUGAAAAGCACUUUGAAAAGAGAGUUAAAAGUACGUGAAAUUGUUGAAAGGGAAACGCUUGGAGUCAAGCUUGUGGCGCGCCGCCUCGGCGCGCGACUGGCCAACAUUGGUUUGGACCGGGGGGACACGGCGGGGGGGAAGGUGGCUGCGGCGCUUGCGCGGCAGUGUUAUAGCCCCCCCGACACGCCUCCGGCCGGACCAAGGUCUGCAGGGCGCACGUUUUUGUGCAGCGUAACCGGCGGAGCUGGCACCGGCCCCGGCGACAGACAGCUUGCUGACUGGCGCCGCGGCAGGCCGGGCCACCCUGGCCGGCACGUCUAUCGCCCUUGGGAUGUUGGCGAAACGGCUUCAACGACCG
rnacentral:rRNA from 1 species